UACGAAGGGGGCUAGCGUUGUUCGGAAUUAUCUGGGCGUAAAGGGCGCGUAGGCGGUACUUCGAAGUCAGGCGUGAAAGCCCCGGGCUCAACCUGGGAACCGCGCUUGAGACUGGAGAACUAGAGUUCGGGAGAGGAUGGUGGAAGUUCCCAGUGUAAGAGGUGAAAUUCGUAGAUAUUGGGAAGAACACCGAUGGCGAAGGAGCAGCUCGCCUGGAACGUAACUGACGCUGAGACGCGAAAGCGUGGGGAGCAAACAGG
rnacentral:rRNA from 1 species